UAGUGCUGUGAGGCGAACCGGGGGAACUGAAACAUCUAAGUACCCCGAGGAAAAGAAAUCAACCGAGAUUCCCCCAGUAGCGGCGAGCGAACGGGGAACAGCCCAGAGCCUGAAUCAGCUUGUGUGUCAGUGGAACGGUCUGGAAAGGCCGGCGAUACAGGGUGACAGCCCCGUACACGAAGGCACACAGGCUGUGAGCUCGAUGAGUAGGGCGGGACACGUGAUAUCCUGUCUGAAGAUGGGGGGACCAUCCUCCAAGGCUAAAUACUCCUGACUGACCGAUAGUGAACCAGUACCGUGAGGGAAAGGCGAAAAGAACCCCGGCGAGGGGAGUGAAACAGAACCUGAAACCGUGUACGUACAAGCAGUGGGAGCCUUCGUAAGAGGGUGACUGCGUACCUUUUGUAUAAUGGGUCAGCGACUUAUAUUCUGUAGCAAGGUUAACCGUAUAGGGGAGC
rnacentral:rRNA from 1 species